AUUGAACGCUGGCGGCAUGCCUUACACAUGCAAGUCGAACGGCAGCACGGGAGCAAUCCUGGUGGCGAGUGGCGAACGGGUGAGUAAUAUAUCGGAACGUGCCCAGUCGUGGGGAUAACGUAGCGAAAGUUACGCUAAUACCGCAUACGAUCUAAGGAUGAAAGCGGGGGACUCGCAAGAGCCUCGCGCGAUUGGAGCGGCCGAUAUCAGAUUAGGUAGUUGUGGGGUAAAGGCUCACCAAGCCAACGAUCUGUAGCUGGUCUGAGAGGACGACCAGCCACACUGGAACUGAGACACGGCCCAGACUCCUACGGGAGGCAGCAGUGGGGAAUUUUGGACAAUGGGCGCAAGCCUGAUCCAGCAAUGCCGCGUGCAGGAUGAAGGCCUUC
rnacentral:rRNA from 1 species